rnacentral:miRNA from 1 species
GUCAGAAGACACAUUCCAGCCAAUCAGCAGCAGACCCUCCCUCCCAGAUCCUCCCACCUCCUGGACAGCAUCCAUUUUACAUUCAUUGUGAAGCUGCAUUCUUAGUGAGCUGUCCAGGAGGUGGGAGAGUCUGGGAGGGAGGGUCUGCUGCUUAUUGGCUGGAAUGUGUCUGCUG